GAUGAACGCUGGCGGCGUGCCUAAUACAUGCAAGUCGAGCGAACAGACGAGGAGCUUGCUCCCCUGACGUUAGCGGCGGACGGGUGAGUAACACGUGGAUAACCUACCUAUAAGACUGGGAUAACUUCGGGAAACCGGAGCUAAUACCGGAUAAUAUAUUGAACCGCAUGGUUCAAUAGUGAAAGACGGUUUUGCUGUCACUUAUAGAUGGAUCCGCGCCGCAUUAGCUAGUUGGUAAGGUAACGGCUUACCAAGGCGACGAUGCGUAGCCGACCUCAGAGGGUGAUCGGCCACACUGGAACUGAGACACGGUCCAGACUCCUACGGGAGGCAGCAGUAGGGAAUCUUCCGCAGUGGGCGAAAGCCUGACGGAGCAACGCCGCGUGAGUGAUGAAGGUCUUCGGAUCGUAAAACUCUGUUAUUAGGGAAGAACAAAUGUGUAAGUAACUAUGCACGUCUUGACGGUACCUAAUCAGAAAGCCACGGCUAACUACGUG
rnacentral:rRNA from 1 species